rnacentral:rRNA from 1 species
CAUUGAUAAUAUUUUACAAUUAUUAUCCGCCCGGGUACUACGAGCAUCAGCUUAAAACCCAAAGGACUUGGCGGUGCUUUAGAUCCACCUAGAGGAGCCUGUUCUAGAACCGAUAACCCCCGUUCAACCUCACCCUUCCUUGUUUUUCCCGCCUAUAUACCACCGUCGUCAGCUUACCCUGUGAAGGCCUAAUAGUAAGCAAAAUUGGCACAGCCCAAAACGUCAGGUCGAGGUGUAGCGUAUGGAAGGGGAAGAAAUGGGCUACAUUCCCUAACCCAGUGCAUACGGACGACACACUGAAACACGUAUCUGAAGGAGGAUUUAGCAGUAAGCAGAAAAUAGAGUGUUCUGCUGAAACUGGCCCUGAAGCGCGC